GUUGGGCUGGGGUCCAGUAGCAGGUCUCCAAGGUGAACAGCCUCUAGUCAAUAGACCAAUGUAGGUAAGGGAAGUCGGCAAAACGGAUCCGUAACCUUGGGAAAAGGAUUGGCUCUGAGGGCUGAGCCGGUCGGGCUGGGGUCCAGAAGCAGGAACGGCACUGCACCGGGACUGGGCGAGGCUCGCCACCGUAAAAAGCGGUGCGGCCGAGCCCGGACCAGCGUCGGGACCUUCCUGUGGAAAGCCACAGCUGUGCAUUUUCCGCGGGCUUCGCGCCUGAGGUUCUUGCUUCGGCCGGCAGAAAACAGCCAACUCAGAACUGGCACGGACCGGGGGAAUCCGACUGUCUAAUUAAAACAAAGCAUUGCGAGGGCCGUUGACGGUGCUGACGCAAUGUGAUUUCUGCCCAGUGCUCUGAAUGUCAACGUGA
rnacentral:lncRNA from 1 species